GCCUUGGAGUCCACCACAAAUGAAAAACAACACAUCUUUUUGUUUCAUUUUGUUAGUGACAAAAUGGAACCAGAUUGAACUGGUUCUGCAGUGACACAAGGAUACAUGACCCGCUCAGUCCCUGGCCGUGCUGGACAAGGAGAUGGAGGAAGCAGAGAGAGUGAGUGCCUGCACUUUACCCUUCCACAGAAGGGCAGAUUUUUUUUUUUUUUUUUCCAGACAGUUUCGCUCUUGUUGCCCAGGCUGGAGUGAUCUCGGUUCACUGCAACGUCCGCCUCCUGGGUUCAAGCGAUUCUCCAGCUUAGCCUCCUGAGUAGCUGCGAUAACAGGAAGUGGCUAAGAAGAGAUCCAUGAGGAUUAACAUUCAGUGCUCAAUUCCUGAAGGAAACAGGGAGUGAAGGGCCGUGGAAGAGAACGGAGCUGCCACGAACGUGCUCCUGGCUGUUUGAAAAGAUCCAGCGCAGCUUCAACUUCAAAAAUAACUCCAUUCACCAUGGUUGCAGUUGGGCCUGGGGAAUUUCCUACAAUCAAAAGCAGCUGCUUCACCUCACGUAGCCAUUAGGCUGAGCACAGCAGGCUUGUUGAGGGAUCUUAGAGCCUGCAAGGCCCUGCUUAGAGUGGCCACGUUUUCCAGCCUGCAGUAGAUCAGUGAGUGUUUACCUUUGUGUUCGGAAUGCUCAUGAGUCCUUUGGGGCAAAGACUGAGUCAUUAAUCAGAGCUUUCUAUGAACGUAUUGCUGCCCAAGCCUCUGUGAAUGUGAACAUGGCCGUGUCCCCCCAGGUGACGCUGAAAGAGAGUGAAGCACGUGUGCUCCAUGAGACUGCCACAGCCACCCCUCUCAUUCACGUUCCAUUCAGCUCCGAGACUAAGUUUAAAUCAUUUUUAUUUGUUGUGAAAAGAGCAUGCACACAGCUGGCAGUGUUGACUCACGCCUGUAAUCUCAGCACUUUGGGAGGCUGAGGCCGGUGGAUCACCUGAGGUUGGGAGUUCGAGACCAGCCUGACCAACAUGGAGAAACCCUGUCUCUACUAAAAAUACAAAAUUAGCCAGGUGUGGUGGCUUGCACCCGUAAUCCCAGCUACUCGGGAGGCUGACGCAGGAGACUCGCUUGGACCUGGGAGGUGGAGGUUGCGGUGAGCUGAGAUUGUGCCAUUGCAUUCCAGCCUAAGCAACAAGAUUGAAAUUCCAUCUCGAAAAAAAAAAAAAAAAGAGCAUGCACACAAAAUUUCAAAUGUUACCGAAUGGAUAUCAGGUGAGAGACAGAAGUUUCCCUUUCUCAUGCUCACAUUCCCAGUCCAAUCCUCUCUGAGGUUACAUGCUCUGAUUGUGCCAGGCGUCGUUCUAGAAUGUCUGAGCUUAUGCAAAUAAGUAUGCAUGAUGUAAAUUAUGUAAAUAUUUAAUGUGUGUGUGCAUGUAUGUAAAUGUUAGCAUAUACAUAUACCUAUUCAUACAUACAGAUAUGCAUUCAGAAAUAGACAUAUAUAUAUAUAUAUAUAUAUAUAUAUAUAUAUAUAUAUAUAUAUAUAAAUAAUCUAGUGCAGCUUUGAGCAAGCUGAGCCCUGAGGCUCUUCUGAGGGGGAGGCCUUGGCACUGUUUCUGACUUUCUCUGUUUCUCCGCAGUUAGACUAACUGGAGCCUCCUCCAGUAUCUUGAGAAGAUAUAAGGCUCCUCUGAAGCACAGGAGGAAAAGGGUGAUCCCAAAGUCAUGUUUGUGACAUGGGCUGGCCCCUGCCUGAUGGUCUCAUGCCUCCCCUGCUGCGCUCCUCCAGACUUUGGAGGCAUGGUGGUUUGACCCCAGAGUGAGACUCUGAGGCAGAAUGGGCAAGGGAGUCGGGGAAGCCCACAGGCAGAGGUGUUCCUCCAUAAACUUAGGACUAUCCCAAUAGCUUGGUCCGUUGGCCACUGCCAGCUGGUUCCUUCUAGGGAUGCAGACACAAUUGUCCAAUAUUCUCUAGGAAAUGAACUUCUCUCUGCCUUUGGAAAUUGCAGCUGCUGUACCCAGAAGCCAACCAGGUGUCACAGAGUGAGAAAGUGGGGCUGGGGCUGGAUAGGAGGAAAGGAAGCGCAUCUCCCAGCACUCCCAGGAGAAUUGCCCUCCAACCUGGGCAACAGAGCGAGACUCCAUCUCAAAAAAAAAAAAAAAAGAAAGGAAGUCUUCAAAAUACAAUUCCCCUUUUCACUCCCUGAGUCAUGUCAACACAGUGUUAAGACUGAGGGGCCCUUGGGUUUGAAUCCUUGCUCUAUCUUGCUCCAGACAACAGACACGGGCAAAUUACCCCAGCUCUCCGGUGAACACCCAGGGCCCCACAUUCAAUAUGGCCAUGUUAAUAUCCACAUUUUACAAUUGCUAUAACAGUUAAAUGCAAUAAUGCAGGGCAGGGGGCCCACAUACAAUACUAUGUUUCACUGAAACUAGGCUGUGCUAUUGGAAAAACACCUCCUAAUUUUGGAGGUGUUCAAAUAUGAAAAAAUAGUGUCUUUGAAAUCCAUGAAAUACAGCACGAGCUUCAUAAGUUUAAAAUGUGAGGUCAUUAUUUCAUCCACACACAGCCUCUCUUUUUUCUAAAGAACGAGUUGUGGUGGAUUUAAAUGUAGGCCCAUGACUUCUUUUUUACUCCCUCUGAACGGUGGAAGCCGAUUCCCCUUGCCUGAGUCCGGGCUGUGUUUGGAGACACUUGUAAAGAAUGGACUCUGGCUGAGGUGGAGGCGUUUGACUUUGAGGACUAGGUCCUAAGAAGGCAUUGUGCAGUGGUUUGUAGUUCUCCUUGAAGAAGUCCUUUAUAUUCUUUGUUAGUUGUAUUCUAGGUAUUUUAUUCUCUUUGUAGCGACUGUGAAUGGGAGUUUGCUCAUGAUUUGGCUCUCUGUUAGUCUGUUACUGGUGUAUAAGAAUGUUGUGAUUUUUGCACACUGAUUUUGUAUCAUGAGACUUUGCUGAUGGCUUCCAUCUUGACUGCUCUUUCUUUCCGAGAGCUGACUCGAAGGGGAGCCAGCUGCCACACCAGGAGCGGCUCCGCAGAGACACCCACACGGCAAGGGACUGAGAGCUGUGUGACUGAGUGAACUUGUUACCAAAACACCAAGGGUUUGGUCCAGGUCCUACUGCUCACCACACUAAAAGCUCAUCACUGAGAUGACAAGUAUCGCCAUGGAAGGAUUUAAUCAGGUGCUGUGGUGGAGGAGAUAGGCGCUCCCUCUCAAAUCCAUCUCCCUGACCUAUAUGAAACAAUGUGUAGGAAAACAGGAACUAGGGAGGGGCCGGAAGCAAUCACAUGAAUGAGGGGCCUGGUACCUCCUUGUCUGGAUGUGGUGGUCUGCUGACUUUCAAUUUUUUGGUACUUUUCUUGAGGGGCCUGAAGUUAGUUUCGUGAGGAAGGAACUCAAGUAAAACAAAUGUAAAUUUCAAGCCAGAAGGGUCAAUUUCUGUCUUUAUCCCCCCCCCCCCCCCCCCCCGCAAAAAAACGGUUUGUGGGACUAUUGGGUCAGUUUCAAACUUGGAAGCAAUUCUCCAGCCCCAGUUGAGGCUUUAGAGGAAGUCGGUGCCAGCUCACAACUUGCCUGCAGCCUCUGGAGAGAACUGGCCUACUGCAUGGCCAGUUGCAUGAGAGUAUAAGUAUAGCACACACGAUAUGUACAGUAAUAAUACUUGAUAGUGAUAAUAAAAUGACUAUUACUGGUUUAUGUAUUUAUUAUACGUUUUUGUUUGAUUCUCGUCCUGGCUGGAGUGCAGUGGUGAGCUGGAACCACCCAGCUAAGCCUGGUGUGAGUUUCUGCCCCACACAAACAGUGAGAUAAUAUUUUGUUGCUUUAAGCUCCUAAAUGACAGAGGCACUUAAUUGUCGUGAGGCAAUCUAUAACUGAUAUACUAGUCUACAUGAAAAAUCUCAGCCAGGCGCGGUGGCUCACGCCUAUAAUCCCAGCACUUUGGGAGGCCGAGGCGGGUGGAUCAUGAGGUCAAGAGAUCAAGACCAUCCUGGUCAACAUGGUUAAACCCCGUCUCUACUAAAAAUGCAAGGACUGCAACUAUAAUGGUGAUCCCAUAAUGGGGACCAUUAUUGGGACCAUUAUGAUGGAGCUGAAUUAUUAUCGAGCUUAUAACGGGGCUGAAAAAAUUCCUAUCACCCAGUGAAGAGUAGCUAUUGUAACACUGUAGCACACUGCAUUACUCAGGUGCUUCUGGGGAUGUGGUGUGAGCAAAGCAACUGCAGUCAGUUGCAUUAAAGUAUAGCACCCGAGAUGAUGUACAGUACAUAAUACUUGAUAGUGAUGAUAAAUGACUAUGUUACUAGUUUAUGUAUGUAUUAUACCUUUUGUUUCCUUUUUUUUUUUUUGAGAUAAAGUUUGAUUCUGUCACCCUGACUAGAGUGCAGUGGUGCGAUCUUGGCUCAUUGUAAACUCUGCCUCCCAGGUUCAAGACAUCCUCCCACCUCAGCCUCCUGAGUAGCUGCAAUCAUAGGUGCAUGCCAGGGCUAAUUUUUGUGUUUUGGGUAGAGAUGGGGUUUUGCCAUGUUGCACAGGUUGAUCUUGAACUUGUAAGCUUCAGUGAUCUGCCUGCCUCAGCCUCCCAAAGUGCUGGGAUUACCUGCACCCAGCCUAUAUUAUACUUUUUAUUAUUUCAUAGUUUACUGCUUAUAAAAAAGAAGUUAAGCCAUCUGGACCUGGACUUUUUUUGGUUGGUAGGCUAGUAAUUGCUGCCUCAACUUCAGCCCUUGUUAUUGGCCUAUUCAGGGUUUCAACUUCUUCCUGGUUUAGUCUUGGGAGGGUGCAAGUGUCCAGGAAUUUAUCUAUUUCUUCCAGAUUUACUGGUUUAUGUGCAUAGAGUUGUUUGUAGUAAUCUCUGAUGGUAGUUUGUAUUUCUGUGGAAUCGGUGGUGAUAUCCCCAAUUCCAGCAAAUGAAAAAGAACAGAAAUUGGAAGCAUUGCAAUAAAUAUAGUUUUUUAUUGCAUCUAUUUGAUUCUUCUCUCUUUUCUUUUUUAUUAAUCUGGCUAGUGGUCUGUCUGUUUUGUUGAUCUUUUAAAAAAAACAGCUCCUGGAUUUAUUGAUUUUUUGAAGGCUUUUUUUGUGUGUCUCUAUCUCCUUCAGUCCUCCUCUGAUCUUAGUUAUUUCUUGUCUUCUGCUAGUUUUUGAGUUUUUUUGAUCUUGCUCCUCUGGCUCUUUCAGUUCUGAUGAUAGGGUGUUGAUUUUAGAUCAUUCCUAGCUUCUCAUGUGCACAUUUACUGCUAUAAUUCCCUCUAGACACUGCUUUAAAUGUGUCCCAGAGAUUCUGGUAUAUUGUAUCUUUGUUCUCAUUGGUUUCAAAGAACAUCUAUUUCUGCCUUCAUUUCAUUGUUUAUCCAGUCAUCAUUGAGGAGCAAGUUGCUCAGUUUCCAUGUAGUUGUGCGAUUUUGAGUGAGUUUCUUAAUCACAAUUUCGAAUUUGAUUGCACUGCGGUCUGAGAGACUGUUUGUUAUGAUUUCCGUUCUUUUGCAUUUGCUGAGGAGAGAUUUACUUCCAAUUAUGUGGUCAGUUUUAGAGUAAGUGCAAUGUGGUGCUGAGAAAAAUGGAUAUUCUGUGGAUUUGGGGUGGAGAGUUCUGUAGAUGUCUCUUGGGUCUGCUUGGUCCAGAUCUGUGUUCAAGUCCUGGAUAUCCUUGUUGAUUUUAUGUUUCAUUGAUCUGUCUAAUAUUGAUAGUGGAGUGUUAAAGUCUCCCACUAUUAUUGUGUGGGAGUCUAAGUCUCUUUGUAGGUAGUAAAGAACUUACUUGCUUUAUGUAUCUGGGUGCUCCUGUAUUGGGUGCAUAUAUAUUUAGAAUACUUAGCUCUUCUUGUUGCAGUGAUCCAUUUACCAUUAUGUAAUGCCCUUCUUGGUCUCUUUUGAUCUUUGUUGGUUUAAAGUCUAUUUUAGCGGAGACUAGGAUUGCAACCCCUGCCUUUUUUUGCUCUCCAUUUGCUCAGGGCCGAAUUCUACCAGAUGUACAAAGAGGAGCUGGUAUCAUUCCUUCUGAAACUAUUCCAAACAAUACAAAAAGAGGGAAUCCUUCCUAACUCAUUUUAUGAGACCAACAUCAUCCUGUUACCAAAACCUGGCAGAGACUCAACUAAAAAAGAAAACUUCAGGCCAAUAUCCAUGAUGAACAUAGAUGCAGAAAUCUUCAGUAAAAUAUUGGCAAACUGAAUGCAACAGCACAUUAAAAGCUUAUCCAUCAUGAUAAGUAGGUUUCAUUCCAGGGAUGCAAGGCUGGUUCAACAUACACAAGUCUAUAAACGUAAUCCAUCACAGAAACAGAACCAAAGACAAAACCACAUGAUUAUCUCAAAAAAGGCCUUUGACAAAAUUCAACAGCCAUUUACGCUAAAAACCCUCAAUAAACUAGGUAUCAGUGGAAUGUAUCUUGAAAUAAUAAAAGCUGUUUAUGACAAACCCACAACAAAUAUCAUACUGAACAGGCAAAAACUGGAAGCAUUCCCUUUGAAAUCUGACACUAGACAAGGAUGCCCUCUCUUACCAGUCCUAUUCAGUAUAGUAUUGGAAGUUCUAGUCAGAGCAAUUAGACAAGAAAAAGAAAUAAAGGAUAUUCAAUUAGGAAAGGAGGAAGACAAAUUGUCCCUAUUUGCAGAGGACAUGAUUGUAUAUUUAGAAGACCCCAUCAUCUCAGCCCCAAAUCUCCUUAAAUUGAUAAGCAACUUCAGCAAAUUCUCAGGAUACAAAAUCAACGUGUAGAAAUCACAAGCAUUCCUGUACACCAAUAACAGACAAACAGAGAGUCAAAUAAGAAUGAACUGCCAUUCACAACUGCUACAAAGAGAAUAAAAUACCUAGGAAUACAACUAACAAGGGAUGUAAAGGACGUUUUCAAGGAGAACUACAAACCACUGCUCAAGGAAAUAAGAGAGGAUACAAACAGAUGGAAAAACAUUCCUUACUCAUAGGAAGAAUCAACAUUGUGAAAAUGGCCAUACUGCCCAAAGUAAUUUAUAGAUUCAA